GUCCUACGGGGGGCAGCAGUGGGGGAUAUUGCACAAUGGGGGAAACCCUGAUGCAGCGACGCCGCGUGUAGGAAGACGGUCCUCUGGAUUGUAAACUACUGUCCCCAGGGACGAAGAUGACGGUACCUGGGGAGGAAGCUCCGGCUAACUACGUGCCAGCAGCCGCGGGAAUACGUAGGGAGCGAGCGUUGUCCGGAAUUACUGGGUGUAAAGGGAGCGUAGGCGGGGAUGCAAGAUGGGGGUUAAACCUACCGGCUCAACUGGGAGUCGCAGUCAAAAGUGCAGCCCUUG
rnacentral:rRNA from 1 species